ACAGCAGCAGCCACGGGAAUACAGAGGGUGCGAGCGUUAAUCGGAUUUACUGGGCGUAAAGCGUGCGUAGGCGGCUUCUUAAGUCGGAUGUGAAAUCCCUGAGCUUAACUUAGGAAUUGCAUUCGAUACUGGGAAGCUAGAGUAUGGGAGAGGAUGGUAGAAUUCCAGGUGUAGCGGUGAAAUGCGUAGAGAUCUGGAGGAAUACCGAUGGCGAAGGCAGCCAUCUGGCCUAAUACUGACGCUGAGGUACGAAAGCAUGGGGAGCAAACAGGAUUAGAUACCCCGGUAGUCCCUGUCUCUUAUAC
rnacentral:rRNA from 1 species